rnacentral:rRNA from 1 species
CUACGGGGGGCUCCAGUGGGGAAUAUUGCACAAUGGGCGCAAGCCUGAUGCAGCAACGCCGCGUGAGGGAUGAAGGCCUUCGGGUUGUAAACCUCUUUUAGCAGGGAAGAAGCGAAAGUGACGGUACCUGCAGAAAAAGCACCGGCUGAACUACGUGGCCAGCAGCCGCGGUAAUACGUAGGGUGCAAGCGUUGUCCGGAAUUAUUGGGCGUAAAGAGCUCGUAGGCGGUUUGUCACGUCUGCUGUGAAAAUCCAAGGCUCAACCUUGGACUUGCAGUGGGUACGGGCAGGCUAGAGUGCGGUAGGGGAGAUGGGAAUUCCUGGUGUAGCGGUGGAAUGCGCAGGUAUCAGGAGGAACACCAAUGGCGAAGGCACAUCUCUGGGCCGUAACUGACGCUGAGGAGCGAAAGCGUGGGGAGCGAACAGGAUCAGAUACCCGUGUAGUC